UGCCCACUGAUUAAUUGAAUUAAAGGGCUGCAGUAUUUUGACUGUACAAAGGUAGCAUAAUAAAUAGUCAUUUAAUUGAUGGCUUGUAUGAAGGAUUGGAUGAGAUAUAGACUGUCUUGAAAGUAAAUUUAAAAUUUAAUUUUUUAGUUAAAAAGCUAAAAUAAAUUAAAAAGACGAGAAGACCCUAUAGAGUUUAAUUAAGUAUUUUAUUUAUGGAAAAUUUAUUUAUAAAUUAUUAAAUUUGAUUUUAAUUUUGUUGGGGUGAUAGAAAAAUUUAAUUAACUUUUUAUUUAAAAAUUACAUUAAUAAAUGAUUUAUUUGAUCCAAUUUUAUUGAUUAUAAGAGAAAAUUACCUUAGGGAUAACAGCGUAAUUUUUUUUUUUAGUUCGUAUAAAAAAAAAAGUUUGCGACCUCGAUGUUGGAUUAAGAUAAAAUUUAAAUGUAGAAGUUUAAAGGUUUGA
rnacentral:rRNA from 1 species